rnacentral:rRNA from 1 species
UACGUAGGGUGCAAGCGUUAAUCGGAAUUAUUGGGCGUAAAGCGCGCGCAGGCGGUCCUUUAAGUCUGAUGUGAAAGCCCCACGGCUCAACCGUGGAGGGUCAUUGGAAACUGGGGGACUUGAGUGGCAGGAGAGAAGAGUGGAAUUCCACGUGUAGCGGUGAAAUGCGUAGAGAUGUGGAGGAACACCAGUGGCGAAGGCGACGUCUUGGCCUGUAACUGACGCUGAGGCGCGAAAGCGUGGGAGCAAACAGGAUUGAGAUACCCGGAGUGAGUC